rnacentral:tRNA from 1 species
GGAGAGGCCAUGGCUUAAUGGUAGAGCACCUGCCUGGAAUGCCGAGUGUCCCAGGUUCAAUCCCCAACAUCUCCA